GGGUGCGAUCAUACCGAGCACUAAUGCACCGGAUCCCAUCAGAACUACGCAGUGAAGCGUGCUUGGGCGAGAGUAGUACUAAGAUGGGUGACCUCUUGGGAAGUCCUCGUGUUGCACCCC
rfam:Corchorus capsularis cultivar CVL-1 contig06612, whole genome shotgun sequence.